rnacentral:rRNA from 1 species
GACGAACGCUGGCGGCGUGCUUAACACAUGCCAGUCGAACGGUGAAGCGCCUUCCUUUUUGGUGGGUGUGGAUGAGUGGCGAACAGGUGAGUAACACGUGAGUAACCUGCCCCCUUCUUCUGGAUAACCGCAUGAAAGUGUGGCUAAUACGGGAUAUUCUGGGUCUGUCGCAUGAUGGGUCUGGGAAAGAUAUUGUUUCGGUGGGGGAUGGGCUCGCGGCCUAUCAGCUUGUUGGUGGGGUGAUGGCCUACCAAGGCGGUGACGGGUAGCCGGCCUGAGAGGGUGGACGGUCACACUGGGACUGAGACACGGCCCAGACUCCUACGGGAGGCAGCAGUGGGGAAUAUUGCACAAUGGGCGCAAGCCUGAUGCAGCGACGCCGCGUGAGGGAUGGAGGCCUUCGGGUUGUGAACCUCUUUCGCCAGUGAAGCAGGCCUGCCUCGUUUGUGGGUGGGUUGACGGUAGCUGGAUAAGAAGCGCCGGCUAACUACGUG